CAAUAGCGUAUAUUUAAGUUGUUGCAGUUAAAAAGCUCGUAGUUGGAUUUCGGAUGGGACUUGCCGGUCCGUCGUUUCGAUGUGCACUGGCCAGUCCUAUCUUGUUGUCGGGGACUAGCUCCUGGGCUUCACUGUCCGGGACUAGGAGCUGACGAGGUUACUUUGAGUAAAUUAGAGUGUUCAAAGCAAGCCUACGCUCUGAAUACAUUAGCAUGGAAUAACACGAUAGGACUCUGGCUUAUCUUGUUGGUCUGUGAGACCAGAGUAAUGAUUAAGAGGGACAGUCGGGGGCAUUCGUAUUUCAUUGUCAGAGGUGAAAUUCUUGGAUUUAUGAAAGACGAACUACUGCGAAAGCAUUUACCAAGGAUGUUUUCAUUAA
rnacentral:rRNA from 1 species